rnacentral:rRNA from 1 species
AUUGAACGCUGGCGGAAUGCUUUACACAUGCAAGUCGAGCGGCAGCGCGGGGCAACCUGGCGGCGAGCGGCGAACGGGUGAGUAAUGCAUCGGAACAUGUCCAUGUCGUGGGGGAUAGCCCGGCGAAAGCCGGAUUAAUACCGCAUACGCUCGAGAGAGGAAAGCCGGGGACCGCAAGGCCUGGCGCGAUUGGGUUGGCCGAUGUCCGAUUAGCUAGUUGGUGAGGUAAAGGCUUACCAAGGCGAUGAUCGGUAGCUGGUCUGAGAGGAUGAUCAGCCACACUGGGACUGAGACACGGACCAGACUCCUACGGGAGGCAGCAGUGGGGAAUUUUGGACAAUGGGGGCAAGCCUGAUCCAGCAAUGCCGCGUGCAGGACGAAGGCCUUCGGGUUGUAAACUGCUUUUGUACGGGGCGAAACGGCCCUCGCUAAUAAAGAGGGCUAAUGACGGUACCGUAAGAAUAAGCACCGGCUAACUACGUGCCAGCCGCCGCGGUAA